rnacentral:lncRNA from 1 species
AUGGCACCUGCCCGUUUGGUUCUGGCCUGGUUUCUGUUCACCGUGAGGACGGGCACCUCGGCAGAGGUUCUGCAGCCGGAGGAGGCUGAGCUCAAUGAGACGGUCGUCUGCACCAACGACCACAUGGAGGUCGUUCUUCCCGCCGCCUUCUUCCUCAACAAAGUGCCUCCAGUUUAUGUUUGGGAUUUGCAUCUGAAUGAUCCGGAGUGCCGCGGCGUGGAGGUCGGAGACGACUACGUUUUCAGCAUCAAGACGAAUCUCUCCGACUGCGGGACGAUCAUGGCCUCGGAUGACUCACACAUCCUGUUCAUUAACACGAUACACAACAACGCCUCGGAGGUCAUCACCAGAAACUACAUCAACAUCACGUUCGUCUGCAGAUACCCCGUCAACUACCUGGUACAGCAGCCUGCAGGGGAGAACAGGAUUCGGGUGGACAUCAGAACCAUCACUCUGAACACGGAGGACGGGAACUUCUCCGUGUCCAUGUUGCUGUACAAAGACGACGCGUUCGAGGACCGAUGGACCACCGUGCCAUCGCUCACGCUGGAGGACGACAUCUUUGUCAAAGUGUUCAUGGUAAGAAACCUUACAGUCUUUUAUUUUAUGAUACCUUAUGUCAAUGUACUUAUUUUAUUUAAUCAAUUAAUAGACACCUUAUGAUUGUGUACAAC